rnacentral:rRNA from 1 species
AUUGAACGCUGGCGGCAGGCCUAACACAUGCAAGUCGAGCGGAUGAAGGGAGCUUGCUCCUGGAUUCAGCGGCGGACGGGUGAGUAAUGCCUAGGAAUCUGCCUGGUAGUGGGGGAUAACGUCCGGAAACGGGCGCUAAUACCGCAUACGUCCUGAGGGAGAAAGUGGGGGAUCUUCGGACCUCACGCUCUCAGAUGAGCCUAGGUGGGAUUAGCUAGUUGGUGGGGUAAAGGCCUACCAAGGCGACGAUCCGUAACUGGUCUGAGAGGAUGAUCAGUCACACUGGAACUGAGACACGGUCCAGACUCCUACGGGAGGCAGCAGUGGGGAAUAUUGGACAAUGGGCGAAAGCCUGAUCCAGCCAUGCCGCGUGUGUGAAGAAGGUCUUCGGAUUGUAAAGCACUUUAAGUUGGGAGGAAGGGCAGUAAGUUAAUACCUUGCUGUUUUGACGUUACCAACAGAAUAAGCACCGGCUAACUUCGUG